rnacentral:lncRNA from 1 species
AUGAUUUUCCCCCCAAAGAGGGCAGCUUCCGGUCUCCUGGACAUCCGGGACAGCGUCCCCUCUGGAGCUUCAGGUGAGCCAGCCCCACUGAUUCCAGGCCAGGAAGCCACCCUCAGUGGGCUGGAACACACAUUCUGUGAGCUCGCCCCGUCCUUACGCCUCCCGCGACCAGUGCCUUUUACUGCGUGCUCAGGAGGGGUGCCACGAGGUGAAACGAGCCCCCCUCAGCUGCUCUUUGUCUGGUCAGUGGUCAAAGGGCUGAAAAGCCCAGGGAACACGCCUGACAGGUUUCCAGACUCCAGCCCUGUUCUCCCUCCCAGCCCAGUUAUGACAAGACUGCCUUCAUCACUUUUGUUUCGUAGCCAGACUCCACGGCUCAUUCGACUUGGAUCCCACCUGCACUUUCCUACUCCACGGUUUGGACCUUGGGUUCUUCUGAAAGCAAUCUAAGGUCUCCUAUGAAACAAAGGCACACAGCUCGAGAAAGGCAGCAAAGUUUGUAAGCCCCAAGAGUUUCUUCUUAAAUCAAGACAAAAUGUUUUCUUUUUUUCUUUUUAAGAUUUUAUUUUUCCUUUUUCUCCCCAAAGCCCCCUGGUACAUAGUUGUUUAUUUUUAGUUGUGGGUCCUUCUAAUUGUGGCAUGUGGGAUGCUGCCUCAACGUGGCUUGAUGAGCAGUGCCAUGUCUGCGCCCAGGAUCCAAACCAGUGAAACCCUGGGCCACCGAAGCGGAGCAUGCAAACUUAACCACUCAGCCACGGGGCCGGCCCCACAAAACGUUUUCUUAUUCACUAUUUCCCUGGAUGGAAAGAUGGAGGAAAAGACUGCAGGAGCCCACACUUUCUGAUCCAUGCAUCCUUUAUUCCACGACCCACCGCCGUGCCGCAGCUGGGCAACAGCACACAAGCUGACAAUCAACCGCAGUCCAGCUGUACAACAAUCUGAGGCUUACAGUACAUUUAAGGCUUUGAAAUUUGAAAAGAAAAAAAAAUUCAAAAUAUAACCAAAGAAUCCCCAAACCCAAACCCCCAACCGUACGAGCAGUGUAGCAAUUUUAGGCAUCUCACAUUUUCUGAUGCUUAUUCGGUGCAACUCCAGUGUCAAAACCCAAAUAACUCCUAAACUAAAAAGAUUUAGUCAAAUUCUAAUUACAUAAAUUCUUCAAAGCAUAAACUUGUUAAUUUUGUUUUGUCUUGGAAAUGUUAUAAAAUUUUUUAAUAGCAAAACAUAGGAAUAAAAACAUAUUAACAAAAUGUAUUCA